CCUACGGGCGGCAGCAGUGGGGAAUAUUGGACAAUGGGCGAAAGCCUGAUCCAGCCAUGCCGCGUGUGUGAAGAAGGCCUUCGGGUUGUAAAGCACUUUCAGUGGGGAAGAAAGCCUUGGGGCUAAUACCCUCGAGGAAGGACAUCACCCACAGAAGAAGCACCGGCUGAACUCCGUGCCAGCAGCCGCGGUAAUACGGAGGGUGCGAGCGUUAAUCGGAAUUACUGGGCGUAAAGCGCGCGUAGGCGGUCUGAUAAGCCGGUUGUGAAAGCCCCGGGCUCAACCUGGGAACGGCAUCCGGAACUGUCAGGCUAGAGUGCAGGAGAGGAAGGUAGAAUUCCCGGUGUAGCGGUGAAAUGCGUAGAGAUCGGGAGGAAUACCAGUGGCGAAGGCGGCCUUCUGGACUGACACUGACGCUGAGGUGCGAAAGCGUGGGUAGCAAACAGGAUUAGAUACCCCGGUAGUC
rnacentral:rRNA from 1 species